UCCGGUUUGGCACCGGCAGUCUCCAAUGAGUCCCCGGCAUUACUCGCUAGCAACACGGGGCGGGGGUUGCGCUCGUUGCGGGACUUAACCCAACAUCUCACGACACGAGCUGACGACAGCCAUGCAGCACCUGUGCACGAUCUCCGAAGAGGGGCUCUCGUUUCUGAGAGCUUGCUCGUGCAUGUCAAGCCUAGGUAAGGUUCUUCGCGUUGCGUCGAAUUAAACCACAUGCUCCACCGCUUGUGCGGGCCCCCGUCAAUUCCUUUGAGUUUCAACCUUGCGGUCGUACUCCCCAGGCGGGGUACUUCCUGCGCUAGCGACGGCACCGGGAGGGUCGCUCCCCCCGACGCCUAGUGCCCAUCGUUUACGGCGUGGACUAC
rnacentral:misc_RNA from 1 species